GGGGCUGUCCUGGAUUCGACAGGAUGGUUCGAGUUUGGUAAGCAUGCGAUCGGCGGAUCUGAAACGCACCCAGUAAAUAACUGGAAACCAAAAUUACGCUUACGCUGCUUAAGAAGAAGUAGCGAGGCCGCUCUCUCCAGCCUGCGGGUUUGAGUGGCUUUCAGAAAGCAGGAUUGCGACGUGCAUCGCCGUCUUAGGUGCAUCAGCGAAAUCAAUAAGACUGGUCCUCAAGCAGGUUGAAUCUCGACAGCUUGUGGGAUAAGAUCCUCGAGAUUCUAAGCAUGUAGAAAGCCAAAUGGUCGGCCAUUUUGGACGGGAGUUCGAUUCUCCCCAGCUCCACCA
rnacentral:tmRNA from 1 species